AUGCGGCUGCUCGGACACAACAAUAUUCAAAUCAAUUCCGGUGGCCCGGCAACUUCUCCCGUGUCAGUGUCAGGUUUAGUGCAGGAGGUUUUUGUACAGCUGUUGAUUGAGUUUGUAUCACUGUGGUGGACUUUCGGUGGAGGCACUCGACUCUCAGUUGGAACUGCGGCUCGUCCCGCUGUCACGGUGCUGCCUCCCUCCAGAGACGAGCUGCAGCAGGGUAAGGCUACAGUGCUGUGUGUGGCCAGUAAGGGAUUCCCCUCUGACUGGAAGCUGAGCUGGAAGGUGGACGACAGCAGCAGGAGCUCUGGUGUCAAUCUGAGUCCCGGUCAGCUGCAGAAGGAUGGACUGUACAGCUGGAGCAGCAGCCUGAGCCUCACUGAGAGUGAGUGGAGCAGAGCAACAACCGUCAGCUGUGACGCCACGCACCCGUCCCACAAUGCAGUGACCAAGAGCCUCGACACACAGCAGUGCAAUGACCAGUGAAACACACACACACACACACUGCUGUUAGUAUAUUGCUCAUAUAUUCUUAUCUGCAAUGAUAUGAAUGUUUUGUUGAUCAUUUUAUUCUUGCUACCAAAUAAAAGCAUUUUGUCUCAAAUAUGUUGUUGA